CUUUUAAAGGAUAAUAGC
rnacentral:tRNA from 4 species